AGAGUUUGAUCCUGGCUCAGAAGGAACGCUGGCAGCGUGCAUAACACAUGCAAGUCGAACGGGAUUAUUAUCUUCGGAUGAUAUGAGAGUGGCGAACGGGUGAGUAACACGUAAGAAUCUACCUUUAGGACGGGGAUAACUUCUGGAAACGGAUGCUAAUACCCGAUAUGCUGUGGAGUGAAAGGAAUUUCGCCUAAAGAUGAUCUUGCGUCUGAUUAGCUAGAUAGUGUGGUAAUGGCGCACUAUGGCGACGAUCAGUAGCUGGUCUGAGAGGAUGGACAGCCACAUUGGAACUGAGACACGGUCCAAACUCCUACGGGAGGCAGCAGUGGGGAAUUUUCCGCAAUGGGCGAAAGCCUGACGGAGCGACGCUGCGUGAAGGAUGACGGCCUGCGGGUUGUAAACUUCUUUUCUCGAAGAAGAAUAAAUGACGGUAUUCGAGGAAUAAGCAUCGGCUAACUCUGUGCCAGCAGCCGCGGUA
rnacentral:rRNA from 1 species